CCUGUGCACUCUUUGUAGACACUCGGGAUGGGAGAGAGGUUGGCAUUGAUGGUUAACCUCUCUUGAUAUUGAAAAGUCUGGGUGUUUAUGUAUUUUUUGACAUACACGGUUGAAUGUCUAUAGAAUGAAAUGUAGGCUUUUGUCAGCCUUUAAAUGAUAAAAUACAACUUUCAACAACGGAUCUCUUGGCUCUCGCAUCGAUGAAGAACGCAGCGAAAUGCGAUAAGUAAUGUGAAUUGCAGAAUUCAGUGAAUCAUCGAAUCUUUGAACGCAUCUUGCGCUCCUUGGUAUUCCGAGGAGCAUGCCUGUUUGAGUGUCAUUAAAUAUCUCAAAAAGUUUGUGCUUUUUUGGCAUAAGAUUUUUUGGACAUUGGGAGUUGCCGGCUGCUGAUAAAAGUGGUGGGCUCUUCUGAAAAGCAUUAGUUGAGGAGCUUUGCACUCUAUUGGUGUGAUAGACUAUCUAUGCCAGGAGAUGCUUCAUGAUCCUCUGCCNUCUAACUGUCUUUAUUAGACAACAUGAUAAACUUGACCUCAAAAUCAGGUAGGGACUACCCGCU
rnacentral:rRNA from 1 species